ensembl:lncRNA
GGAAAGGCAUGUGAAGGUGCGCUAGGUAGCACAGUACGAGGCACAGGCACAGAGUAUACCUGUGGGGAAGAGAAGGGGCUGUGCAGGGACCUGAGGUGUGCACCUGGGGGGGUGCAGUGUUAUAAAUAAGGCAUUAGCCUCUUGAAGGGAACAGAGAUGUGAGGGGCUGUCUCGGUAGCUCUCUUUUUCCCACUAACUCUAACUAACAGUUAACCCGAAGGCAUGUACAUGUACUCCUUUCAUCGCAAAGGAGGUACGGUACAAAAAAAUGUCUCUAAAAGGUAAACUCUGGGACUCUGUCAUGACAGAGUCUUAAACUUAGGAGAGGUCAGGUAUAAACUUAUCACAAGUUUGAAGUAACUGUCGUCACUGACUGGCUCACACCCUUCAGUUUUUUUGGUAAAAAAAGAUGACCAACAUUCAAGAGUGUGAAGAAAAAGAAGUUACUCUCUCUGCUGGUGUACAGGUAGGCUUCAUCUCAUCUAAUCAGAAGUAUAAUGAUAAAUAAAGUAUCACAAAUAAAAAAUUAAAAAACAACACCUUGAGAACACCUUUCAGCACCCACCUUUCUAAUGCAACUGUAGAACAUGAACAAAUCAUUUCCAAAGCGCUUUCUGUGCAGUGCAUGGGACGAUGCCGCUAAAUGUGUCGAAUUCAAAGCCACGUGCAAGGACAAGGUUUAUGUGUUGAUCCUUUUCACUCCAGCGCUGUGAAUGCCGUUUUAAGUUUCAUGGUCGCACGCUAUGUUCUUUUCAACAAUAUCCCACACAGUUGUGACCUUACAUAGAGCUGUGUUUGCUGAUCAGUUUGCCUACAGCUCAGCAAAGCGAGGUAGACGUAUGACUUCAACCCUUACAGUGUAAGAGCAGGUUAGUGAUUAAUAAGUAAAUCAAAUUAAGUCGGCAGCAAAACAAAUUAGCUCGUCAAAAUGUUGCUCUUUUUGAGGAUUAGUCUAGCGAAUGAGACAAUGCACGUGGGGUUCAGAUCUUUUUUUAUUUAUAGUUUGACUGAUUGUUGAGAUUGAUGAUUGUUUUCACACAAGUCCUUUAAAAAAACAAAAAAACAAAACAACACAAACAGACAAAAAAAGACAUGAAACUGAUUAGCAGCACUUGGGGAGAGAGUCGCAGAAUAAUAACAAUACUGAGAAAGUUGCUCUAAGCCAAUUCUGCCUUGCAAUAAUCUUAUCUGUGCUCUUUUCUUACCAUUCUCAAAUACUACAAGCCAAAUGACUUGAAAUUCUGCAUAGUAUUCUUUAAUUGAGAAAAGUGAUUAGGUGAUUUUUAUCUCUUCUGUAUCAGUUGCUAAUAGUAAAAGCACUAGAAAAGCUAAGGUCUCCAUUUUAUUGUACUUCCAGACUGCUUCAAUCUUGGCUUAUCUGCAGUGAUACUCAUAUUUCUGCAGGAGGACAUUUGCUGACCUCAGCAGCAUAUUGUAACUUCUGGCUCUAACUAAAA